rnacentral:rRNA from 1 species
GAGGGCGCUUCGGGCGCGGGGCCGGCCUAAGUUCCUUGGAACAGGGCGUCACAGAGGGUGAGAAUCCCGUCUGCGGCCGGCCGCAACCCCAUGUGAAGCCCCUUCGACGAGUCGAGUUGUUUGGGAAUGCAGCUCUAAAUGGGUGGUAAAUUUCAUCUAAAGCUAAAUACCGGCCAGAGACCGAUAGCGCACAAGUAGAGUGAUCGAAAGAUGAAAAGCACUUUGGAAAGAGAGUUAAACAGUACGUGAAAUUGUUGAAAGGGAAGCGCUGGCCGCCAGACUGGCCCGCGGGCGAUCCGCCGUCCUUCGGGGCGGUGCACUCGCGCGCGGGCCGGCUCGCAUCGGUUCGGGCGGUCGGAGAAAGGCCCCGGGAAUGUGGCCCCUCACGGGGGGUGUUACAGCCCGGGGCGACAUGCGGCCAGCCCGGACCGAGGAUCGCGCUCAGGCUCGGAUGCGGGCGUAAUGGCGGUCAGCGACCCGUCUUGAAACACGGACCAAGGAGUCUAACAUCGGUGCGAGUGUUUGGGUGUCAAGCCCGGGCGCGGAAUGAAAGUGAACGGAGGUGGGAGCCCCCCGGGGCGCACCAUCGACCGAUCCGGAAGCUUGCGGAUGGAUUUGAGUAGGAGCACCGCUGUUGGGACCCGAAAGAUGGUGAACUAUGCCUGAAUAGGGUGAAGCCAGAGGAAACUCUGGUGGAGGCUCGCAGCGGUUCUGACGUGCAAAUCGAUCGUCAAAUUUGGGCAUAGGGGCGAAAGACUAAUCGAACUAUCUAGUAGCUGGUUUCCGCCGAAGUUUCCCUCAGGAUAGCAGUCACGUAUUCAGUUUUAUGAGGUAAAGCGAAUGAUUAGAGGCCUGGGGGGCGCAAUGCCCUUCACCUAUUCUCAAACUUUAAAUAUGUAAGAAGUCCUUGUUGACUUAGUUGAACGUGGACCGUCGAAUGCACCG